GUGUUCGCUUCGGCAGCACAUAUACUAAAAUUGGAAGAGGAUUAGCACGGCCCCUGUGCAAGGAUGACACGCAAAUUCAUGAAGCGUUCCAUAUUUUU
ensembl:snRNA U6 U6 spliceosomal RNA